rnacentral:rRNA from 1 species
AUUGAACGCUGGCGGCAUGCUUUACACAUGCAAGUCGAACGGUAACAGGUUAAGCUGACGAGUGGCGAACGGGUGAGUAAUGCAUCGGAACGUGCCCGAUCGUGGGGGAUAACGCAGCGAAAGCUGCGCUAAUACCGCAUACGAUCUGAGGAUGAAAGCGGGGGACCGUAAGGCCUCGCGCGAUCGGAGCGGGCGAUGUCAGAUUAGGUAGUUGGGGGGGUAAAGGCUCACCAAGCCAACGAUGUGUAGCUGGUCUGAGAGGACGACGAGCCACACUGGGACUGAGACACGGCCCAGACUCCUACGGGAGGCAGCAGUGGGGAAUGUUGGACAAUGGGCGAAAGCCUGAUCCAGCAAUGCCGCGUGCAGGAAGAAGGCCUUCGGGUUGUAAACUGCUUUUGUACGGAGCGGAAAGGCCCUCUCUAAUACAGUGGGCUCAUGACGGUACCGUAAGAAUAAGCACCGGCUAACUACGUGCCAGCCGCCGCGGUAAGAC